ACGAACGCUGGCGGCAUGCCUAGCACAUGCAAGUCGAACGAGACCUUCGGGUCUAGUGGCGCACGGGUGCGUAACGCGUGGGAACCUGCCCUUAGGUUCGGAAUAACUCCCCGAAAGGGGUGCUAAUACCGGAUAAUGUCUUCGGACCAAAGAUUUAUCGCCUUUGGAUGGGCCCGCGUUGGAUUAGCUAGUUGGUAGGGUAAAAGCCUACCAAGGCGACGAUCCAUAGCUGGUCUGAGAGGAUGAUCAGCCACACUGGGACUGAGACACGGCCCAGACUCCUACGGGAGGCAGCAGUGGGGAAUAUUGGACAAUGGGCGAAAGCCUGAUCCAGCAAUGCCGCGUGAGUGAUGAAGGCCUUAGGGUUGUAAAGCUCUUUUACCCGGGAUGAUAAUGACAGUACCGGGAGAAUAAGCUCCGGCUAACUCCGUG
rnacentral:rRNA from 1 species